UACGUAGGGUGCGAGCGUUGUCCGGAAUUAUUGGGCGUAAAGAGCUUGUAGGCGGUCUGUCGCGUCUGCUGUGAAAUCCGGGCUCAACCCCGGACUUGCAGUGGGUACGGCAGACUAGAGUGUGGUAGGGGAGACUGGAAUUCCUGGUGUAGCGGUGAAAUGCGCAGAUAUCAGGAGGAACACCGAGUGGCGAAGGCAGGUCUCUGGCCGACUACUGACGCUGAGAAGCGAAAGCAUGGGGAGCGAACAGG
rnacentral:rRNA from 1 species